UACCGCGUUAGUUCUGCUGUUUCGGUAUAAAUAGAGUUGCGCGAAACCGCACCUUGGCGUCGUAGACAAGAAGCCACUAAUGUUAUAUAUACCUGUGUAUGUAUGUCCAAUUUACCUGUGUGACGUCAUUGAUGUAUGUGUUCAUAUAUUGUGUCGUUUUGGUUGUGGUCAGUUUUGUUCGUGUUUGGCGGGAGUUAAAUAGAGGCAGCCAUUGCCGACAGGCGGACAGAUGACUUUGUCGUUUUGGUACAGAUUUUAGUUGAUACAUUGUCCUGGUAGUCCAGACGAAAGUCUUACUAAGACCCUUGACCCAUUGUCAGGGGUCUUUUGAAUGACAAAGCUUUGUAAGCAAACACCAUAAUGCGCGCUAGCGGGUGAUUUAAGUAUAUCAAUAGAAAUCUGAG